rnacentral:misc_RNA from 1 species
AACUGAUACUACCUGCGGGAACCUGCGGAGGGAUCAUUAAUGAAAUCAUAUUCUCCUUUGGAGUUUCUUCUAGCUGAUGCGUCUUUUGGCUGCACGCUGUUGUCACUCUUUAGGGGUUAUAUUUCCACAAACCCUUCUGUGCAUAUUGGGAGGCUUUAUUGUCCUCUCCUAAUUCAUAUACUCUAAUGUUUAAUCAUGUCAUACAAUGUUAAAUACAUUAAACAACUUUCAACAAUGGAU